GGGCGAGGUCUCUGGUUCAAGUCCAGGAUAGCCCA
rnacentral:tRNA from 6 species